rnacentral:rRNA from 1 species
AUACGGAGGAUGCGAGCGUUAUCCGGAUUUAUUGGGUUUAAAGGGAGCGUAGGCGGGAGCUUAAGUCAGCGGUUAAAUGGUGCGGCUCAACCGUGCCCUGCCGUUGAAACUGGGUUUCUUGAGAGUGCAAGAGGCGGAUGGAAUUCAUGGUGUAGGGGUGGAAUGCUUAGAUAUCAUGAAGAACUCCGAUUGCGAAGGCAGUCCGCUGGGGCACGUCUGACGCUGAUGCUCGAAGGUGCGGGAAUCAAACAGGAUUAGAUACCCUGGUAGUCCGCACGGUAAACGAUGAUUACCCGCUGUCGGCGGUAGACAGUCGGCGGCCAAGCGAAAGCGAUAAGUAAUCCACCUGGGGAGUACGCCGGCAACGGUGAAACUCAAAUGAAUUGACGGGG